AUUUCAGAUUUACAAAAUAUAUCAAAAACAAUUUUUUUUCUUACAAGAUAUAAGAAAAUUAAUAGAGUGUAAAUAUGGAGAGAGAAUACUGCAAAAAUAGAAAUUCCUGGGUUUAAGGUGUUUUUAAGUUUUAAGGUUUUAAGUAUUAAGGUGUUAAGUUUUAAGAUGUUUUUAAGUUUUAAGGUUUUAAGUAUUAAGGUGUUAAGUUUUAAGGUGUUUUUAAGUUUAUCUAGGAGAGACAUUCUUAUUUUUCGAAAUAUUUUCAACAACAUUUUCGUUUUUCUCACAAAUAUUCGUGUAUUACUCGGGAACGCUUAAUACGAUCGGCUUCAAAUUUUUAACGCUUGCGAAAUGCA